CCUGACCGAGUUCUCUUGCUUUACUAAGUGACGGUGCAGAUGUCUGGACUUAUUCUAAACGGAUACGAUCUAGGACAAACCCUUCGACCAAAGCCUGGGCUCUUCUGGAGGCUGUGCUGUCUUAGCCGAGCACCACCAGCGUGAACGUGUACAUCCGUGAGAAUGAUCAUCCCAGAAGUUUGUGAAUCGGGUGCUAUUUCGCACGAGCAGAUCUGCUUUGAUGGUGGAGAGAGAUGGAAGAAGCUCUCAGCUUCACGUUAGUGCUCAGUGUGAUGUGACUUGGAAGACAAAGCCCAGGCUGCCCAAAUGAGGACGUCUUGCUGCGCCACGAGUGUCUCUUCUGCGAAAUGCUUGAUGUGGCAAGGCAGAACUUCUCUGGUGGCGAUGACAAUGUUGGAAGAAGACCACAUCCGGUCAGUGGCAGCAGUCAUGACCACAGGCCCGAACCUGGAAUAUUGGAAUACAGGGCCUUGCUCCUAUUACACAACCAACCUACCUCCGGAUUACAUUCCUCUACAUAUGG
rnacentral:lncRNA from 1 species